AUUGAACGCUGGCGGCAGGCUUAACACAUGCAAGUCGAGCGAGCGGCGGACGGGUGAGUAAUGUCUGGGAAACUGCCUGAUGGAGGGGGAUAACUACUGGAAACGGUAGCUAAUACCGCAUACCAUCAGAUGUGCCCAGAUGGGAUUAGCUAGUAGGUGGGGUAAUGGCUCACCUAGGCGACGAUCCCUAGCUGGUCUGAGAGGAUGACAAGCCAAAAUGGAACUGAGACACGGGCCAGACUCCUACGGGAGGCAGCAGUGGGGAAUCUUGGACAAUGGGGGAAAGCCUGAUCCAGGCAUGCCGCGUGUAUGAUGAAGGCCUUCGGGUUGUAAAGUACUUUUAGCGAGGAGGCGGUACCUGCAGAAUAAGAACCGGCUAACUACGUGCCAGCAGCCGCGGUAAUUC
rnacentral:rRNA from 1 species